GGAAAUCUUCGGCAAUGGACGAAAGUCUGACCGAGCAACGCCGCGUGAGUGAAGAAGGUUUUCGGAUCGUAAAACUCUGUUGGUAGAGAAGAACGUUGGUGAGAGUGGAAAGCUCAUCAAGUGACGGUAACUACCCAGAAAGGGACGGCUAACUACGUGCCAG
rnacentral:rRNA from 1 species